UUUUAUUUUCAAUUACUUUUAGGAACAAGCUUUCUAGUUUCUACUCCCCUAAACGAACAAACUUUGGAACGAUGGAGUCAGGAGCGGUGAGGAAGAGACGACGAUGGAGACAACACAUUCGCAUUCGCCGGAGACGACGAUGACGAGCAGUGAGGAAGAGGAACGAAGUCACGAACGUUGAACUUCGAACGAUGGAGUCAGGAGCGGUGAGGAAGAGACGAAGAGGUACGAAGCCACGAAGCGACGGAGUCAGGAGGCGAAGCGACGCCGCCACCCCACCGCCCACAUCCAUUCGCCGUCGCGGACCUCCCGAGACGCCCAACACUCACUCAUUGUCACUCCAGUCAGUCCAAUAUUGAGGAAGAAUGGGCCACCUCUUUGCGUGAAUACUGCAGCAUCACAUUUGCCCCAAGCCAUAAGCACACUGAAUCUGAAUCUUCAAUUCGAGCUCUGAAAAUAUGCCUUCAGAAAUCUCAAAAUCAGCUAAGAGGGGCUGCAUAUCAUUACAGGUAAUAUGAUUAAAAACCUAGAAGCUGGUUUUGAUGGAAGAGUGGCUGCAGUGAAACUUGAAAAUGGCUCUACCAUAGAAGCAGAUGCUUAUUAUUACGGCAUUGGUCAAACCUAUUCUUACGAGAAAAUUGAUGAACUCAAAGAGUUGUGGAUUACAUAUGUCGGAGAUCAACAAGAAGCACAAAUGAUGAAUGAGUUCUAACUUCCCGCCUAAUUUUUUUUACCUUAAUCCAUUUUUGGAUGUACAUUAUAUUUUUGGAUUUGGAUAUUAAUAUCAUGUGGAUGUGGCUAGUCUAGAUUUGAUUGUUUAUGAUUUAGAUUAAUAUUGAUUUGUAUAUAUAGUAGUUUUUGGAAGUUUAGAAUUAUGAAUAUUCGUUGAAUUAUAUUGUGAAAUAAAAAUUU